GUGCACGCUGGCGGUAGGCCUAACCCAUGCAAGUCGAACGGCAGCACAGUAAGAGCUUGCUCUUACGGGUGGCGAGUGGCGGACGGGUGAGGAAUACAUCGGAAUCUACUUUUUCGUGGGGGAUAACGUAGGGAAACUUACGCUAAUACCGCAUACGACCUACGGGUGAAAGCAGGGGAUCUUCGGACCUUGCGCGAUUGAAUGAGCCGAUGUCGGAUUAGCUAGUUGGCGGGGUAAAGGCCCACCAAGGCGACGAUCCGUAGCUGGUCUGAGAGGAUGAUCAGCCACACUGGGACUGAGACACGGUCCAGACUCCUACGGGAGGCAGCAGUGGGGAAUAUUGGACAAUGGGCGCAAGCCUGAUCCAGCCAUACCGCGUGGGUGAAGAAGGCCUUCGGGUUGUAAAGCCCUUUUGUUGGGAAAGAAAAGCAGCAGGUUAAUACCCCGCUGUUCUGACGGUACCCAAAGAAUAAGCACCGGCUAACUUCGUG
rnacentral:rRNA from 1 species